rnacentral:misc_RNA from 1 species
AAGUCGUAACAAGGUUUCCGUAGGUGAACCUGCGGAAGGAUCAUUAUUGAAUCAAACUUGGCAUGGAUUGUUGCUGGCUUUUCAAAGCAAUGUGCACGUUCAUUCCAUUUUUUCAAUCCCUCCUGUGCACUUUGUGUAGGCCUUGAAUUUAAAACAAUCUGUCGAAGAAUUCAUUCAUUCUUCGGUGACUGAGACUGCUGUUUGCCAAUGUGCCAGCUGUUUCUUAUGUUCUUUUCAGGGUUCUAUGUUUUCUUCAUCAUAAAAUACUGUAUAAGAAUGUCAUCUUUAUUGGCCUUUUAUGCCAUUAAACACACAAUACAACUUUCAACAACGGAUCUCUUGGCUCUC